GGAUAAUGUCUGCUUUAUUCCUGAAUUCUCAGGACUUUUCACAGGCUGGCACACAGUAGGUCUGUGUUGAAUGAACAAGUCAAUGAGCCUCUUCUAUAGCUUCAGACCCUUCAAUGUGUCAUCUAAUGACUGUGUUUCCUUGAUGUGCCUUUGGCUUGUUCCUUGCUCUGCAUCUCUGCCAGCCCUACCUAGUCCAGAGACAUCAUCUCCUGCCUCUGGAUCACCCCAGAUUUCUGUUUCUAAGGAAACGGAACAAAUUUCAUAAUGUCCAUCGAGAUACUAUCUUUGCUUCUAGCCACAGGGACGUAAGUAACUAGACAGCAACAUUGACUGCUUUGAAGACAUUGCUCUUUCUUUAUUUUCUGUGAGGAGCCGCACUCACAUUCGCCAUUACAAGAUGGCGCUGACAUCCGCUGCCGGAUCAAGUAAACAACGUUGGUAUGCAUGUGCUCAGUGUUUUUCCACUGCCCAGCCCCGCCUAUUCCAUGGCGUCAUAUAGGGUGACGAAUCAUCCACCUAUCCCAGCUGUACACGCAUCGCUCAGAGUUUAUGAGCCUUUAUUAGGGGACGGGAUUCUUGGCUCGGGGUCUCCGCUUUUGUAAGCUUAUGCUCUCUCUCUCUCAAGACGCAUAAAAGCUUUACUGCAGAAGGAUCCGAGUGUCCUGUGUCGUUCUUGCCGGCAAGACGAUCGCACGGGACAAUUUUCUAUCUUACAUCUUCUUUUCUUAUUUUGGUACUUGCUUUGUGGACAUUGUGAGCAUGCUCCGAAGACACUGGCCUGAUCUCACACACUUCCCUCCCCAGCCCUACAGAGCUGGGGUUAUUGGGGGCUCAGGGGUAUGCUGUUCACCAUUUAUUCUUCCAUGCAUUCCCCACACAUUUGUGUGGUAAGGAAUGGAGAGAAGCUCUCUCCCUGUGUGAUGGUGGCUUCAAGAUAACCAGCACAUUGAUAAUCGCCCUCAGCUAACUGUUCUGCAGCCAGGUGCAGUGUAUAACCUAUAGCCUUGGCACUCAGGGGCUGAAGUAGGAGAAGCGUGAGUUUGUGGCCAGCCAUAGUAGCUGUUGUACUAACACAGGAAAAAUUGCACACAUAGUUGAUGUGUCUGAGUGUGGUAUGGAGUUAGUAGGGAUAGGGUUUUUGUUUUUGUUUAUUGUGUUUUGAAAAUUAUUUUAUAGUCUCUUCUUUGUUUGGUUGCUUGAUUGCUUGGCAUUUUUGAGGCAGAGUUUCUUUUUUAAGAUUUUAUUUAUUUAUUAUGUAAAUAAUAAAUACAUUCUGCUUCUAUGUAUAUCUGCACCAGAUCUCAUAACAGAUGGUUGUGAGCCACCAUGUGGUUGCUGGGAAUUGAACUCAGGACCUCUGGAAGAGCAUUCAGUGCUCUUAACCUCUGAGCCAUCUCUCCAGCCCUUCUGAGCCAUCUCUCCAGCCCUGAGGCAGAGUUUCUCUAGCCCUGGUUGUCCUCGAACUCUGCAGACCAGACUGGCCUUGAACUCAGGGAUCUACCUGUCUCUGCCUCUUGAGUGCCAGGAUUAAAGGUGUGUGCCACCACAUUGGCUGGUCAUUUGCUGUAUUUGUUUUGGUUUUUUGAAGGGCCUUAGACCUCCUUGUGAAAGUGGUAUAAAAAGAAAGACAAAAAUCUAUAAACUCUUUUCCCAGAAAAAAAUGCCACGCAUACCCACCUAACGUAGAGUGUAAUUACAGGAAGUUCACAGAGAAAGUUAAAAGAGAAGGAAGGGAGCUGCAGAUGGAUGCCGAGGGACUCACCCACGUGAUGAGGAGGUGGAUACUACAAAGAAAAUACACAAGAUCAAAGGUGUAGAAGUGGCGGAGGGACAUUUCCACAUGUCAGAUAAGGAUUUUCAUAAAACAUAUACUUGAAGUGACUUCUCAAGGCCACAUGGGCAAGCAAAGGGAGCCUGCGCUCUAUCCACGGCACUGCACCAUGCCCCAUACCAGAGUACGUGGAAGCCGAGAUCCAUGGGGUCCUAGGAGCCUACGAGAGACGGAGCCUUCGGUGCUUCUGAACUCUCCUCGGAAGCAGAGUCAACACAGUGCCUAGCAUGCACAGUACACAGUUAAUGUUUGCUGAAUGAAUGAACAAGAAAGGAAACCACAACCCCAUCUGAUGUUCCGUGGUGAAUUGACUGGAGACACACAGUUUGAGGGCAGCACAUGAAUAAUUUUGCAUCUAGGAUCAGCACAGCUGCUUUCAGGCAAUGAAACUCUGAGGUUUCC
ensembl:lncRNA